AUUGAACGCUGGCGGCAGGCCUAACACAUGCAAGUCGAGCGGUAGAGAGAAGCUUGCUUCUCUUGAGAGCGGCGGACAGGUGAGUAAUGCCUAGGAAUCUGCCUGGUAGUGGGGGAUAACGUUCGGAAACGGACGCUAAUACCGCAUACGUCCUACGGGAGAAAGCAGGGGACCUCCGGGCCUUGCGCUAUCAGAUGAGCCUAGGUCGGAUUAGCUAGUUGGUGAGGUAAUGGCUCACUAAGGCGACGAUCCGUAACUGGUCUGAGAGGAUGAUCAGUCACACUGGAACUGAGACACGGUCCAGACUCCUACGGGAGGCAGCAGUGGGGAAUAUUGGACAAUGGGCGAAAGCCUGAUUCAGCCAUGCCGCGUGUGUGAAGAAGGUCUUCGGAUUGUAAAGCACUUUAAGUUGGGAGGAAGGGCAGUUACCUAAUACGUGAUUGUUUUGACGUUACCGACAGAAUAAGCACCGGCUAACUCUGUGCCAGCAGCCGCAGUAACAC
rnacentral:rRNA from 1 species